rnacentral:rRNA from 1 species
UACGUAGGGUGCGAGCGUUAAUCGGAAUUACUGGGCGUAAAGCGUGCGCAGGCGGCGCGUUAAGACAGGUGUGAAAGCCCCGAGCUUAACUUGGGAAUUGCGCUUGUGACUGGCGUGCUGGAGUGUGGCAGAGGGAGGUGGAAUUCCACGUGUAGCAGUGAAAUGCGCAGAUAUCAGGAGGAACACCAAUGGCGAAGGCAACUCGCUGGAACGGUACUGACGCUGAGGCGCGAAAGCGUGGGGAGCAAACAGG